rnacentral:rRNA from 1 species
ACGUAGGGUGCAAGCAUUAAUCGGAUUUAUUGGGCGUAAAGGGCGCGUAGGCGGCCAACUCAGUCGGACGUGAAAUCCCCUGGCUCAACCAGGGAACUGCGUCCGAUACUGGCUGGCUUGAAUCCGGGAGAGGGAUGUGGAAUUCCAGGUGUAGCGGUGAAAUGCGUAGAUAUCUGGAGGAACACCGGUGGCGAAGGCGGCAUCCUGGACCGGUAUUGACGCUGAGGCGCGAAAGCCAGGGGAGCAAACGGGA